rnacentral:tRNA from 1 species
AAGGCCUUAAGUUAAAUUAAACUAAAAGCCUUCAAAGCUUUAAAUGACUUACGUCAGGCCUUG